CCUGCUCGGGCCUAAUGCCAGGUCGAGCGAAUGGAUUAAGGAGCUUGCCUCUUAUGAAGAUUAGCGGCGGACGGGUGAGUAACACGUGGGUAACCUGCCCAUAAGACUGGGAUAACUCCGGGAAACCGGGGCUAAUACCGGAUAACAUUUUGAACUGCAUGGUUCGAAAUUGAAAGGCGGCUUCGGCUGUCACUUAUGGAUGGACCCGCGUCGCAUUAGCUAGUUGGUGAGGUAACGGCUCACCAAGGCAACGAUGCGUAGCCGACCUGAGAGGGUGAUCGGCCACACUGGGACUGAGACACGGCCCAGACUCCUACGGGAGGCAGCAGUAGGGAAUCUUCCGCAAUGGACGAAAGUCUGACGGAGCAACGCCGCGUGAGUGAUGAAGGCUUUCGGGUCGUAAAACUCUGUUGUUAGGGAAGAACAAGUGCUAGUUGAAUAAGCUGGCACCUUGACGGUACCUAACCAGAAAGCCGCGGCUAACUACGUGCCACAGCCGCGGUAAUACGUAGUGGCAAGCGUUAUCCGGACUUUUGCGCGUAAUGCGCGCGCCCGUGUUUUCUUCGCUGAUGUGAAACCCCACGGCUUUCCGUGCAGGGUCUUGGAUACUGCUCGACUAUAUCGCUAAGAACGCCGGCUUUCUCGCCUUCCCCGCCAUACUACGCUAGUCGCCCCUUGGUUGUUGCCCCCUUCUCGCUCUUGCGGGUCCGCCAUAUUCCAAUUUCUCCUUCCCCCUUCCUCUUUUCUGUCCCUCCUCUCCCUCCUACUCCCCUUUUGUCGAUUUUCCCCCCUCCUCCCCCCCUCCUUUUUCCCUUCCCCCGUGUUCCGCCUUUUUCCUCCUCUAUCUCCCCCUCCUUUUUUCUCUCUCCCUCCUUUC
rnacentral:rRNA from 1 species